rnacentral:tRNA from 1 species
UUAGCUAAAGCCAAAAUUAGGCAUGUUACUGUUAAUAACCAAUUGGAUUAUCUUACAAUCCUUGCUAAG